rnacentral:tRNA from 1 species
GGGCAGGUACCCGAGUGGCCAAAGGGGGCAGACUGUAAAUCUGCUGGCAAAGCCUACGGAGGUUCGAAUCCUUCCCUGCCCA